CGUGCCCUCCUUGUGACCCAGUAGCAGGGAUCUACUUAGUCUUUCUGCUCCCUGGGCCAUAAUACUUCCACCAGAGGCUUUCCCUGCAUACUGCAGGCCGGGCUGUCCUGGGACUGACACAUCUUUGGAGGCUGGUUCUUUCACAGUGGGAUCUGGCCCCGGUCAUUUCAGAACACCUAGAGUUUCAUGACAGUCAAAAGGAGCUAAGUCACUUUCACUCAAGUCCAAGUGCAGCUUGGUCCCCAUUUGAAAAUAAGCCUGGAGUAACUGCAAGUGCCUCGGGGUCCACGUGAAUUAGCACUUCUUCCAGACCUCCUGGAUAAAGUGCUGAGAUUGCGCAUAGCAUCACGGACAACACGGUCGGACCUGGAUUCAUAGGAUAUUGCCACCCAUAUUCAGGAAGGAUCAUCCUACCUCAGUUAAACCCUUCUAAAAACACCCUCGUAUGCUGUGGAUAUUGUUCUAUAUAAAUGAAACACUGAUGGCCAGUGACCA